rnacentral:rRNA from 1 species
GGGCCCGCACAAGCGGUGGAGUAUGUGGUUUAACUCGAUGCAACGCGAAGAACCUUACCAGGGUUUGACAUCCUGCGAAUUUCUUGGAAACGAGAGAGUGCCUUCGGGAGCGCAGUGACAGGUGGUGCAUGGCUGUCGUCAGCUCGUGUCGUGAGAUGUUGGGUUAAGUCCCGCAACGAGCGCAACCCACGUCUUUAGUUGCCAGCAUUUAGUUGGGCACUCUAGAGAGACCGCCGGUGAUAAACCGGAGGAAGGUGUGGAUGACGUCAAGUCAUCAUGCCCCUUACAUCCUGGGCUACACACGUACUACAAUGCUACGGACAAAGGGCAGCAAGUUCGCGAGGACAAGCAAA